rnacentral:misc_RNA from 1 species
AAGGUCAGGAGACGUUCUCCGUCCGCCGGUUCAAUUCGAGCCGGGUUGGCGAGCGAUCCUCGGUUGGGUCAUGGGCGGAUUUGGAUUCGCCGCGGCCUGGGCUGCGAUCGAGCUGAGGAAACCGGCUAUCGCAACCUUGCUUCCUCUCCUGCUCGGAGGCUUUGCCGCGAUCAGCGUUCCGAAAGACCA